rnacentral:rRNA from 1 species
CCUACGGGAGGCAGCAGUGAGGAAUAUUGGUCAAUGGGCUUACGCCUGAACCAGCCAAGUCGCGUGAGGGAAGACUGCCCUAUGGAUUGUAAACCCCUUUAGGCGGGGAGCAAUGCCGGGCACGUGUGCCCGGAGGGAGAGUACCUGCAGACUAAGCAUCGGCUAACUCCGUGCCAGCAGCCGCGGUAAUACGGGGGAUGCGAGCGUUAUCCGGAUUUAUUGGGUGUAAAGGGUGCGUAGGCGGAUAUUUAAGUCAGCGGUAAAAUGUCCGGGCUCAACCCGGGCCGGCCGUUGAAACUGGGGAUCUGGAGUGAGCGAGAGGUAUGCGGAAUGCGUGGUGUAGCGGUGAAAUGCAUAGAUAUCACGCAGAACUCCGAUUGCGAAGGCAGCAUACCGGAGCCCGACUGACGCUGAGGCACGAAAGCGUGGGGAUCGAACAGGAUUAGAUACCCUUGUAGUC